AUCAGGAAGACGUGGUUCUCGAGCCCGUUCCGCAGGAAGACGGUGAGUUAGAUGCCUAAGGACCUUAUAGCUCUAUUUAUAGUUUUUAUUUUGAGUAUCUCUUUUAAUUAGCUUAUUCUUUCAUAUUUUGAGUACGUUUUUUGGUUAUUGUGUAAGGGAUAUUAAUCAAAAAUUUUAUUACGCUUCCGCAUUUAAGAUUUUUAAUGCAUACAUCUUCAUUUAAAUUCCGGGGCCGUUACAAAGAUGCUUAUUCUAAGGAGCUCCAGCUUUAAAGAAUAUUCUGAUGAUCAAAUCCAGCUAUAAUGGGCCUUUAGCUGAAUAUAUUGUUGAACCCCCACCAAGUUCUAGAUGUGAGGUAUGAUAUAUGAUAAUGUGCCUUAUGACUAUUGAUGUGAUACCCACUAAAGAUAAACCUAAACUAGAGGAGUGUAAGAAGCGGACUGGUAUUAAUGAGCUUCCAGGAAACGAAAGAAAGCAAUUACGAGGUAACAAUACCCUAUGCUACUCUAUUCUUCACUAAGUAUCAAACAGUGAGGCCGAAUCCACCAAACAGAGUUCCCGACCUAGGAAGAAAUGACACUAGAAGGUGUUAAAAACCCAAAGAAAAACGGACUUUACUGUUAAGAAACGGCUUGGCCUGAAAAUCCCGGCCUAAGAAAGAAGUCUGAAUGUAGUCUGCAUAUGGGUACCCGUAGGGUAAACAUGUGUCGCAUUGCAUAUAUAGGAUAGGAUACUUGGCCCACACAUUCAUCGAUGUUCUAAGCUCCCAUGGUGAGGAAGUCGAAGGUAACUUUAUACUUCGCAGGAAAAUCAGAGACAGGCAACUUUCUUGACGCAUAGACCUGGAGGCCCACAUGCGAGCAAGGAUGCUUGCGUAUGCGCCGAACAGGCAAGCCAACCUACACAACCCAUGAACACACACAUGUGCCCACAUGUGCCGCGCACAUGAGUGUCGGGAGCACCAUACACGUGACCUUCUAGGCCCACACAGAACCGACCGCGCGCGCAAGCCCAGAAGGCCGAACGCGUGCGCAAGCCCAGAAGGCUGAACGCGUGCGCAAUGUGCGGACGGGCCCGAGGCCAGCCCAACCAAGCCCACGAUUCCUACGGGCCUUUCCCACGCUACCCAAGUGGGCCGAUUGACCCAACCUAAUUGGGUUACCCUAAAACCGGCCCUCCCUAAUUCUUUUAAAUUAAUUAAUAUUUUUUUAAAGUUUAAAAAAUGAGCUUUGGGACCCAUUUUUUAAAUUACCCAUGUUAUUAACUUAAAAUCCCACAUGUCUAAAUUAAUUUCUAAAUAUAUUUUUCAUGGAAGUCACAUGGGAUAAGUAUUAAUGUAUUUUAAUUAUUAUUUUAUUAUAAGUCAAUCCCUUAAGAUUAUUUAAUUAAUAUUUUUGAGAUAGGAUAAUUAUUUUAUUAUGUAAUUAUCCUAAAUUUAGAUAGAAUUUUAUUUAGAACGUUAUUUUAUUAAAUUAUCCCAAUAGUUUGUAUUUAUCUAGAUUGCUCGAAAAAAACUAUAAAUAGGCAUUUGCUCAUAGAUUGUAAACAUACCAAUUACAAUCAGUAUGAGAGAAUUCUUAAAAGCUUAGGUUUUUAUUUUUUUUAGCAUUUUUACUAAAUUAGCUUCUCCAAGUUCUUUAAGAAGUAGGAGUUUUCAGAAAUCCUAUUGAGCUAAGAAGCAGGGAUCAACUUAUCAGUAAAUCUGUUGCGAUUUUUCUUUUCUUGUUUUUUUUUCCUAGUCUUUGUUUAUGCAUUUCUUCUACGAUUGUAGAUUCAAUUAGAGUGAUGAGUUUAUCUAGACGAUUAUAGUUCCUUGCUCACUAUUUUUUCUAUUUGAUAAUGACAAUAAUAAUAAUAAUAAUAAAAGAAGAUUCAGCAGAGGAUAAGAAGUCUUACCUUACUCUAUUGGAUAUUCACAAGUGAAAAAAGACGAAUGAAUCCAACUUUUCCUUUUCCUAUUUUACGUUCUUCUUUUCUUCUUCACGACUUCAUUAUGCGCUGGCAAGUUCGUUAACAAGUCAAUGAAAGGACAAAGAGGGAGUCAGUAGCAAUGGUGAUGUAGCUCAGAAAUAUAGAUAGGAGGAGGACGAGAACUGGUGACCCCAAGAGUAUCAGAGACAUGGAUGAAGAGGGAAACAGGGUUGUUGUCCUGACUGAUGCAGCAUCAUGUUGAUUCCAUUGCUGGCAACUCUCUCCCUUCUCCGUCUCCCUUUGUCCACUUUCCUUCUGGUUAUUAAUCGAAGAAUUUAAAAUUUUGAGAAUUAAAUUAUUUGUAGACUUUAAAAAUUCUCUCAAAAAAAAUUAAAAUUAAUUAAUUAAAUUAGUAGAUUACUAUACAUUAAAAAAUAAAAAAAACAUGUUUAAAACUAUUAUUAUUAUUAUUUUAUUUAUUAAUUAAAAUUAAUUCAGUUUAAACAUUAGAUAAUUUGUUUUAAGAAAGAAGCUUAAAAUAAUCAGAUAAUAUUAAAAUAUCAAACUAUAAUACAGUUUUAAAAAAAUAAAAAAUAAUCAUACUGAAAAAAAAGUUCCAUACAAAAUUAUAAAAAAAAAUCAAUUUUUAGAAACUAAUUUAAUAAUCUAAUCUAAUAUCCAUUUUUAAAUUAAAUAAUAGUAAUUUAAAAUUGAUAUUUAUAUUAAAUAAAAUAUUUAAUUAAAUGAAUAUUUUAAAAUAACUUAAAUUAUUAAAAUAAUUUCUAAAAAAGUAAUAUCAAACAAAUAAUUAUAACAAUUAAAUCUUAUAGCAUAAUUCUUAAUCCUCGUUUAUCAUUAAUUUUGUAACAUAAUAACUUAAUAAAAUAUUUUAUAUUAAAGACAUUUUUUACAAGUAAAAAAUAAUAUUUCACUUUAAAACCACUUCUAUUAAAAGUCAUUUUGAAAGCAUUUUUACCAACUCCAAGCACUGGCUUUGUAAAACAGACUUUAAAAUCAAUCCACUCAUAUUCUUGUGCGAUCUACCCACAAAUGAAAUGUGCACUAGCUUUAGGGGGAGGAAAAAAAGCACCUUAAUUAGUUGUGUUCAUCUUUGCUUUAUGCAUGUAUAUAAAUUUGAUUCAAUCGCUACCCAAGUAAAAACAUUAAACAAAGGCCAAUGAAUCCAAUUAUAAUAAGAUUAAGAGAGACAACACAAAACUAUAAAACUCAAUUGGUUAGCUUCACAGCUCAANNNNNNNNNNNNNNNNNNNNNNNNNNNNNNNNNNNNNNNNNNNNNNNNNNNNNNNNNNNNNNNNNNNNNNNNNNNNNNNNNNNNNNNNNNNNNNNNNNNNNNNNNNNNNNNNNNNNNNNNNNNNNNNNNNNNNNNNNNNNNNNNNNNNNNNNNNNNNNNNNNNNNNNNNNNNNNNNNNNNNNNNNNNNNNNNNNNNNNNNNNNNNNNNNNNNNNNNNNNNNNNNNNNNCUGAAUCAGUCUCAAAAGCUGGGGGUUUUGCUUUCCAAGCUCCUGAAGCAUGGGCUGUAACAAAAACAGCAUUUUCAACUCUUCUCAAGAAGCUACCAAGAUAAAUUCGGUUUAAAGAGAAAAAGAGAUUCAGUGACCUGUAAGAUUUGUGGAUUUGAUUGCACUAUUGAUCGCAACGUUUGGAACUAAAACCAACAGAGAAACAAGAGAAGUUAUCUCAUCGCGAAAAUUCAUCACCUACAAAUCUUUAGAUAUUGCCACUUUUCAAAUAAUUCAAUAUCAAUCAGAUUUAUACUAAUAACUAAUGAGCCAGAUACUCGUAUAAAGAGGAAAUAGAUUGUUCAAAUUAGCCUUAAGUUUAAAGACGGCCUAAAGAUUAAAAAUUAUAAUUUUAUUAAAUACAAAACUAGUAUGCUAUUUAGGAGUCUAUUAUCAUAGUUCUAGUAACUUUAUAAUUUUUUGUUUUCAAUAUUUAUUUUUACUAUUUACAUUAGUAGUAUUAGUUCCUCAUCCUAUUAGUGUUAGUGAUCUAAUUCUACCGAAGAACUAUUAUGUACAAAUUUUGGUAAAUUCACUUCUAGUUAUUCAGUAAAAUUUUUUAUGCAUUUCUUAAUUUUCUGAUUCUAUGUGCCAUCAAACUCUAUAUUAAGACUUAUUCGAUGUAGAUAUAUAAGAAACUCUAGAUGUGAUACCUAAAUCUUUGUCUCCAAAUUCCUAAAUAGCUAAUUUAAUCCUAAUUCAUGCUAGAUCAGUUUGUAUAAUAGCUAAAGAAUCCUACUCCAAAAACUUAAAACCCCACACCCAAAUACCCAAACUCGACUGACCGGGAAGAAAAACAGAAAUAACCAAUCACUGAAGCCCAUAAAUCAACUGCCAAGGCAAUCAGAACCAAAGACUCUCUCUCAUCCCCAAAAGCCCAGGGUGAAAUUCCACGGAAAACAAGCCACUCACGAUUGCACUUUUUCCCUAUCCUGCCUUCUCAUUCCCAAAUUUUCUUGUUGAUAGUGUUUCCUACCACUACCAGAUCUGGUACCACUCUCUCAAGCUGAACCUAGUGUUGGGACACUGAUGCUGCUCAAUGAACAAAAAUUGGUGCAUAGUUCCUAUGCAAACGUAACCGCAAGUGAAGUAGUCAGAUUGCCACUGUUUUGACUUUCUAAGAUUGGGUUGACCAAAUCAGUUCAUCCUAUCCAGUUUUAGAGCCCUUCUACACUGGUUACAAUUCCCCAAUUAAUUGUCAUGCACUCAGUUUUCUAAUUAACCAUCAACUUCAACAUCUGCAGUAUAAAAGAAUUUUCAGUACGUGGAAUAUUAAGGAAGAUAAUGAGCUAUAGCUAUGAGAUAAUAAAGCUGACAACUCUUUCUUAGUUGUAGCCUGAGCACAAUCAAACAGGAAAAAGUGAAGCAAAGGUCGAAAGCAUUCAACAAUAUUUUCAAAUCCAAACCUUUGUGGCAUAGAGAGAAGCUUGUCAUUUACAAAGAUUGUUUCCAGAAUCUUGUUUCAAUCUCUAUCGUUGAACGACAGUCUUUCGACACAAUCAUAUCCGCAACCAUAUAGAUUAGCUUGGACAAAUAGUACAAGUAUUUUGGUAACUCAACCAAGUCUUGACUCUAUUCGUCAUGGUAUUUACAGAGAUUCAAUCUUGUGCAACAUUGUUCCUACAAUGUUCAUAAAUGUUUGUCUAGGUCAACCUUAGCUUUUUAAUAGACAUGUUCAGUAUAACGUGACUACUAAUACCCAUUAUUUUACACUUGGCACAAAGGAUAUAGCUUUAAAAUCUAUGACUAAGAAGAGAUGAGGAAACAUAAACAUCCAAAAGCAUCUAUGGAGAGAAAAAGCUCAUUGAAGUUGAAAACAAGAACUGCCGCGUUCUCCUAAUAGUAGAGAUGUUGAGGUUACUAAAGAUUUUUUCAUUACGCGAAGAGACUUAGACAAUUUUUAUACAGUAUAUAGAUAAAAUUAGGUUGUUACAAAACUAUUAACAAUUUAAUUUACACAUGAAUACUACCGUUGCACUUUUACAUAUAUUAGAAAAGGUCAAUUGCAAGGAGACACCGAUGGCAAUAAUUAGAUCUGUUUAACUCAAGGAUGAAGUUAAUGCACAAUUCUUCCGAUACGUUGAUUUCAUCCUCCUCUCAAUAAAAUUUCACUCUAUUAAAUAAUCAUGUGUUUCCAUUAGUUUUAGCAUUAAAGAGAAUAACCGGACAGAAAUUUUCCUAGAGUUUUGUUACAAGAUUACAUGAUAUUUACUUGUAAUUAUUGGUAGCUGACUUUCCAUAUAUAUUAGCAUAAUUAUAUACAGCCAAUUAAUAGGCUAAUUUAUGUUAGUUACCUUACACAGAUCCCACUAUAUGUAUAUAUAUCCCUAACCUAUUAGAAUGAAACUAUCAGACAAUGUUCCUAUAUUUUUCCGCUCUCUUACAUAGUCUCAAAGCCAUGGAUUGAGAGUUGGGCCAGAUCAGAUCUGAUCUGUGUCCCAACCACCACUGAAGGAGAAAUAGAGGCAGCAGCUGCGGCGGCAUCUGAAACGAGGAGGCUUGGAGCCGAUCUGGUGAGACGAGACAGCCAGAAUCAGAAGGGAGGGAGAAGCCAAGGAGAUGGCUUGUGUACACGGCUCGGAGAAGACAAACCGUGCAGCAGGAAUCCUGAUAUGCGUGUGCAGCAGCCAGUCCAGAUCCAAGUCGGGGCGUGGCGGGGAGAAGACAAUCCAGCCUUGUACGCGACAGAUCGGUCUAGAUCUGCGUGAGGUCGGUCUGGAGAGGGUGUAGAUGAAGCUAUCUGUGUCGGAAUCAAAAGGUCGGAGAGGAAGAAUCUGAGGCAGUUGCCAUCGGUUGCGCGAAGCUAGAUCCACAAAUUUUUCAGUGUUUUCCGGCGCGAUUUAACAAAAUCCGUUCACUUGUUCAUUGCAAAAUUAUAUGACUCAACAAAAGAUUCUCUAUCAGUCCUCUUGUGUUGAUACACCCACUCAAAAUGGAAUAACUGAGAGAAAGACUAAACAUUUACUUGAGACUGCUCGAGCUCUUUUAUUCCAAACACAGGUCCCUAAGCAGUUCUAGGCUGAUGCUAUUUCCACGACCUACUUUUUAAUUAAUCGUCCGUCAUCUAUAGUACUUAAUGGAGAUGCUACUUACAGUGUUUUUUUUUUCCAAACAAGUCAUUGUUUUUUAUUCAACCUAGAGUAUUUGGUAACACCUGCUAUAUUCGAGAUGUGUUGCCUAAUAUUACUAAAUUAGACCCAAAUGUCUUGAAAUAUGUAUUUUUGGGAUAUUCUUACCUUCAAAAGGAAUAUCAAUGCUAUUUUCUAGAUCUCAAUAAAUACGUGGUAUCAACUGAUUUGGUAUUUUCAGAGAACACGUCAUUCUUCUCCUUAUCAUCUAAUUCUACAAAUUAAGAGGAGGACGAUGAGUAGCUCAUUUAUAAGUUCACAUCAAGUGUCUCAAAUGAGCAAUCAGAUAAUGGUGUUUCUUCAGAUGAUGUGUCUCCAACUCUAAUUGAGUAAGUUGAUGAUGGUGUGCCUCUGACCGAAGUACAACCACCAAUUAUUCAUAUUUAUUACAAAAGACAACAGACUAAUGAUACAUGUCCUGUACCAGCUUCCUCAUCGUCUGAUCCUAUCCCACAUGACUUGGAUCUUCUCAUUAAUUUUCUUAACGGUAAACAUUAAUGCACCCUUUCUAAAUCUACGUAUCCCAUUGAUAAUUUUAUUUCAUAUAGUCACCUGUCCCAUUCGUUUAUUUUUUUUAAUUACUUUUAUAGAUUCAAUUUCCAUACUUAAGGGAAUUAUGGAGGCUUUGAAUCACUCUCUUUGGUAUAAAAUGAUGUUUGACUAGAUAAAUGCUUUCGGUGAAAAUCAUACCUAAGAUUUGGCGAAUUUGUCAAAAGUAAAAAAGUUGUGAAAUGCAAAUGGAUCUUUUCAGUCCAAGUGAAUCCAGAUGGUUCCGUGGCAAGACUUAAAGUCAAACUAGUAACGAAAGACUAUACUCAAACUUAUGAAGUGGACUAUUCUGAUAUAUUCUCUCUAGUGGUCAAACUUACAUCUCUUUAAUUAUUCAUCUCUAUUGCAGCCUCCCAAAAGUAGCCCUUACAUAACUUAGAUAUUAAGAAAGCAUUUUUUCAUAGUGAUCUCUCAGAAAAAGUGUAUAUGAAACAACCACAUGAAUUUGUUGCUCAAGGGGAGUAUGAGAAUAUCUGUCAUUCAAAGAAAUCUUUGUGUAAUUUAAAACAGAUUCCCCGUACGUAAUUUGGCAAGUUUAGGGAAGUAGUUCUAUAUUAAAAAAGAGUAAGUAUAAUCAUUCGAUCUUUUAUAAAUAAUUAAUAGCUGGUAUUAUACUUUUUGUUAUUUAUGUAGAUGACAUUGUCAUUAUAGGAAAUGAUUGUGCAGAAAUAUCUUCUCUCAAGUCAUUCUUGCAUACUAAGUUUCACACUAAAAACUUGAAUCAGCUAAAAUAUUUCUUUGGAGCCGAAGUAACAAAAAGCAAGAAAGGAAUUUUCUUGUCUCAAAAGAAGUAUGUACUUGAUCUAAUUGCAGAAAUUGAAAAAUUGACAGCUAAGUCGUGCAAUACACAAAUGACGCCACAUGUAUAUCUUACAAAAGAUAAUAGCGAACCUCUUGAUGAUCUGGAAAAGUACAGGCAACUAGUUGGAAAAUUGAAUUAUCUCACAGUGACUUCUAGAUAUUGCAUAUCAUGUUAAUGUUGCUAUUCAUUUUAUAUCUGCAUCUACAAUCAAACAUUGAGAAGCUUUAUAACAAAUUGUGCUGCUUAGAAGGUGCUCCAAGACUUAACAUAUUAUUUAGCAAUUAUGAGCACACUCACAUUAAACGCUUUGCAGAUAUUGAUUUGGCUGAAUCUAAAAUUGAUAAACGGUCCACUACAGGUUAUGUGUUUUUGCUAGUGAGAACUUAAUAUCAUGAAGAAGUAAGAGGCAGACCGUUGUGCCCUAAUCUAAUACAGAAUCCGAAUAAAGAGCUAUGACCCAAUCUACAUGUGAAGUCUUAUGGAUACAUCACCUUCUAACCGAAGUGGGUUUAAAUCCUGUGUCACCUGUAAAACUCAGAGUGUGAUAAUUAAUCUGCAUUUCAUAUUACUUCAAAUCUAGUGUACCAUGAAAGAAUCAAACAUAUCAAAAUUCAAGAAAACUUGGUUUCUAUUGGUUAUGUGAAGACAGGAGAACGUGUAAUAUAUUCACGACUUUAAUGCAACUCGAACUGAAUACUUUCGUAACAAACUAGACAUGAUAAAUAUCUAUGCUUCAACUUGAGGAAGAGUGUUACAAGAUUACUUGAUAUUUACUUGUAAUUAUUGAUCGUUGACUUUCCAUAUAUAUUAGCAUAAUUAUAAACAGCCAAUUAAUAAACUAAUUUAUGUUAGUUACCUUACACCACUCUAUAUGUAUGUAUAUCCCUAACCUAUUGAAAUGAAACUAUCAAAAAAUAUUCCUAUAUUUUUCCGCUCCCUUACAAGUUUCUUGGAAAAGCUCGAGGUUAAUGUUCUACAUUAUUCGCUAUUUCACAACUUAUAGAUGAGUUCUUUCCAACGAGGAAAGAAUUAUGCAAAAUAAUGUAAAUUUAAAUUGCUAAAUAAAAUUAAGAAUGAUAAUUAUAUUACACAUAAAGCCAAUGUAACAUUCAGGAAUUUACCAUUAAAUGUUUAGUGCCUUUAGGUUCUUAUUUUUUCACUAUUUAGUUUCCUUGUACUUACCGUAUUAUUCUCCAAUUUUAUUAGUAUUAGUUAUCUAAUUAUAUUUAGAAACAUAACUAAAUUAGUAUUAUAAAUAUUUUUGUAAAUUCACUUUUUGAGACAUCCUUUAGUUAUUCAAGAAAGAAACUAAAUUUUCCAGUUCUAUAUUGCACUAAAUCCUUACAUUUGAUGCUUAUAAGUUCUUAGAUAUAACAUCCAAGAAACAGAAAGUGUGAAGCGUAGAAUUUAUUCCUAAAUUCCCAAGAAUGCAAACUUAGCCCCAACUUGUACUGUAUUAUGGUGAUUAGAUUCUAGGUUUUCUGGUUUAAUAGAAAAGAGACUAUAUUAGCAUAAGAGAGAAAAAAAAUGUGGAGAAUAAGACAUCUUCCUCAAAGAAUUACAUCAGAUACAACGAAAAGAAACAUAGGAAUGAAAAACUCUAAGAGAUGGAAACAACAGGCUGCCAGUUUCAGUGAAGCAUAGGAAUGAAAAACUCUAAGAGAUGGAAACAACAGGCUGCCAGUUUCAGUGAAGCUCUGAGACGGCUAUAUCAGAGUAUCUCCUUGACUUUUGAUGCAAAAUGUAGAAAGAAAUAUAACCCUAUCCCACAACUCCUAAAGAGAAGAUAACAGUCAUAAAAAAUUCUGCAGCUUUUUUCCAGCCAAAUCACCCAUAAUCCUGCAAAUAUUGCCCCUUGCAAUAAAGGCCUGGCUCCCUUGCGCACCCUUCUCCACAAAUACAUGAACCCAUUAAGCCCUCAACCUAGAUCCUAGGUUUCAGGAAGAAUUCAGCCAAAUCUUCCAUAUUAGUUUGUACCCAAAAUUCAGCUAUAAAAUCAUCAGAGAACAACUUAUAAGAAAAAGGAGGUUUAAAGUAUCCAACUCCAUAUACCAAAAGCUGUCCAACAAGUCCUAAUUUUGGAAUUGGAGUAGGUUGUUAUGGAAGAUUUCAGUCACUUCCACCAUCAUUUUGAGGCAUUUGUUAAUAUAUAUCAGGAGGAUCCAAAGCAUUGGAAACCAAACCAAGAAUUCAAUACAGGGGGUGAAUGACCUGACUAGGGAACUUUCAGUCCCUUCGGGCAAACAAAACAUAGGUGAAGUCAGCAUAAACAUAGGUGAACACAGUAUUGCCAGGGGAAGACAUUACUAGCUCCUGGUUCCGUUUAGGCCACGAUCAUUUUGAUGCUGGUUCUUUUAUCUCCAAGGAUUCUACUAAAGUUCAAGAUUUUGAUGGCUCUUUUGACCACUUGCAUUCAUUUGAUCGCUGCAACAUUUUUUUUUGGCUGUCAGAAUCUCAAUCAGUCCCACCUAGACAAUUUCUGAUGGGUUUAGAUGAUGCUAAUCAAGGCUUCCAGCUUCAGGAAUUACUUGCUAUAUUUACCAAAAAUUUUGGUACGCUACAUGUUUGCCUCAUGUACACAGUUCUAAAAUUUUGCUGCAAUCUGUUGCAAGACGGAGAAAAAUUUUCUCAUUCUGAAGUUAACAAAAGUUACUUUAUGUCGAGUGAAGACUUUUUUAUUGUUCUAAAGCACUUCUAUGGCACAGGAACAACCUCCGGAUUUGGGAUGAUCUGUCAACUGGAAUUUUUUCUUUUGGGAAGCUGUUCGACUAGGCUGUCUCUGUUUCUCAUUAUUGGUGCUUGCGGACAAGCACCUAUCAGAGGAGGUAUGUAAUCUUAUAGUCCAUAAUAAAUAAUAAAAGCACUUAAGAGUCUGGUUUAUGACACGGACCCACAGACAGCAAGCAGCGGGCGGAACACAGGCAAAAUGCAAAGAGAACCAUUACUGCUUUGGUUAAAGUGAGAUGCCUUUUAUUUCAGGAGUUUCCUUAUCUCUGUAAUUUAAAUAAAAAAGGCAACUUAAGAAAGCCUAAGGUCAUGGUGAUUAAAUAGGCUAAUUAUUUUUUUUCAAUAAAGUGUGAAUAGAUAAUAAACUGUAUGCGAUUAAAUCACUAAUUAUCGUAACUUAAAAUCAUGAAGAUUAGAUUACCAGUUUUAGGAAGAAGUAAGCAGGCUUAUUCCUAUUUAUUUGUACCCUUUUAUAAAAAUUAUGCAAUCAAAUCAUUGAAGAAAAAUUUAUACAAAGAAUUUUAGAUUAUUUAACUGCUGAGACUCAAGGACUUUAGAAUCCUAAAUACUAAUACCACACAUUACUGCACAUAACCUGAUCCCGAAACCAUGACUCUGCCACCACAUUGAUAGGAAAGCUUGUAUAAGCCCAUCAAAGAAAGACUAAAGUAGAUUUCAUAUCGGAAAAAGGGGAGGAAGAAAACAUAAGUUUAUUGUAACCUCUAUGUAGAGUAUUAAGUUUCCUUGAUAACAGGAAUUGUAACACUUCACAGGAAUAAUACCUGUUGAUUGCUUCUCAGAAAUUCCAGAGAUCCAAGUCCACCAACACCAGCACCAGAUGGUGCCUCCUGGGAAAAAUUCAGCAUAGCAUAAACAAAAAAAGGAAACCUCCUUACAAACACAAUGAAAUUCAAACAAGAUCAAAAUGUUUACCUGAGGAAACAUAUUUAAAGGAGACGAAUUAGGUGCUCCAGAGGCACCAAUUACUGGGGCUGCACCUGUUUCUGUUAUCUGAGUUGCGGGCAAAUGACCUACUGGAACAGCAACUUCUGUUGUUUCAGGUAUUCCCUAAAAAUAAAGAAGUAUUAAGACCAGAUGUAGAGAAAUAAACAUUUAUCGCUACAUUUGCAAAAUUUAGACUUACAGAGUAAAGAUAAUCUACUGCUCGCUCCGGGUUGUUAUAAGCUGCACGAAGUGCUCGGCUAACUGUCUCUUUGUCCCAGUUUCCGCCACCAAUAUCCAUUAUUUGUUGAAUGGUCUGUUCAAGAUUACUACCAGCAACUAAAUUGGAGGCAGCUUGACCAUAGGUAUCAGCAUGUGGUCUGCAAUAAGUAUAUAAUAUGCAUCACUAGAUAAUAACAAAAACUCUGUUGAACACUAGAAAAUAACAUACAUUAAAAAGUUGAGAAGAGAAUUUUUUUAAGGUUGUUAAAUCAAGAGAAUUUUUCUAAAGCCAUUUGAUCACGUUAACUGAAAUUUCCUGGAUUAUAUGCUUUUGAGACUUGGUUUUGGACCCAAAUGGAGAAGCUGGAUAAAAACAUGUAUUUUCGCUACUAAUUUUGCUGUGAUCGUCAACGGCGCCCUCCACUUUUUUCAAUGCCUCUAGAGGCCUACGGCAAGGAGAUCCCCUAUCUCCACUCUUAUUCAUUAUUGUGAUGGAGGCAUUGAAUAAACUUAUUGAGAAAGUAAAAUCACUGAACUUGAUUAAAGGGAUUACUGUAGGUAACAGAGAUCACAAAACGGAAAUUUCUUAUCUUUUCUUUGCUAAUGAUUCAUUGAUUUUUUAUCAACCAGAUUUCAGCUCCCUCAUCUUCCUAAAAUGUAUUCUACUAUGCUUUCAGGCUGUCUUCGAUUUACAUAUAAAUUUCCAAAAAUCUGAGAUGGUUUUGUUGGGAAACAACUCUAGAAAUGAAGAUUUCAGUGUGAUUUUGGGAUGCAACUAGUCACAAUUACCUAUCACUUACCUUGGCAUUCUUCUUGGCACCAAGCACAAUGAUAAUAAUUGGUGGGAACUAUGAUCGAUUUGUUAAAAUAACAGAUUAUCUACCUGGAAGAAAAAAUUUCUAUCAAAAGGAGAUAGAUUGACCCUGAUUAAAAGCACACUCUCCAAUCUCCCGAUUUACUUUUAUAGAUGCUUAACAUACCAAAUAAAGUGGCAAAAAAACUACAGCAGAUCGAAUGUAACUUUCGUUGGGGAUAGUGAAAACUGCAAGAAAUACCACUUAGUGAAUUGGUUGGAGAUCAAAAAACCCUUAAAAGAAGGGACCUUGAGACUAAAUAUCAAUAGUCAAACUAAGCAAGGCACUUCUUGGUAGAUGAAUUUGGAGAUAUUGGAAUGAAAAUAACAGCCUCUAGAAAAUGGUGAUAGACUCAAAAUGGUAUAAUGGCAAUCCACAAAAUCUCUCUUAUAUUAAAAGCAACAACUAUGGUUACAGCUUAUGAAAGAACAUCAUCACACUUAGUAAUACGAUAUUUCAGUGCUCAAAAUGGAAUAUUGGUAAUGGGUUCAAGGUCUGUUUCUGGGAAGAUUUUUUGUGCGAUUCAAAAAAACUAAAAGAUAAAUAUCCUCUUAUCUACCGGAUAGCUAAAAACAAAACGAUUUACCCUUCUUACUUCACUUAUUGGCAAACACUAACUCUUAUUAAGAGUAUGAUGGCAAAUAUUCCUGUCUAUUUCAUGUCUCAUUCAAUAGUUCCUGCAAGUGUGAUUAAAAGAUUAGAGGCAAUGCAAGUUAGGUUUCUCUGAGGCUAUUUUGAAGAGAGGAGGAAAUACUAUUUGACCAAUAGUCAUAUCUAUUUCCAUGUCUCUCUCAACGAUCCUUGUAAAUACAGCUAAAAGAUUAGAGGCAAUGCAACUCAAGUUUCUUUAGGCUAUUUUGAAGAGAGGAGAAAAUAGGAAAUACUAUUUAGUAGCUUGAAUGAUGGUUAAACAGCCAUCUGGGAGGGUGUAUUGGAUGUAAGAUCUUUGAUCGAAUUUAAGAGUGCAUUGCAAGUAAAUGGCUUUAGACAUUUAUGUGGGAGAGAGAGAGAGAGAGAGUCUAUGGAGAAAGGUGUUAGUUGGCAAAGUUUCGUUUAAAGAUUUUAAGAUUCAAGGAGCCCAAAGGGCUGCAUGGAGUUGGCUUAUGGAAGAAGAUUAAUUCCAGGAAAGAGAUCUUUCAAAAAUGUAUUAAAUGGAGAGAUGGGUUGUAGGAGGAAAUGAAGUUUUAGAAGGAUGAGUGAAUGGAAUAAGGACCUCUUUUCACAAGGUUUCCAUCUAUUUUUGCCGUUGCUUAGAACAUGAACAUAUCUCUGAAGGACACUCUUGUAGGAAUCGAUAGGGAGCAUAUUUGGUCUAUGAUUUUAUUUAGAAAUCUGAACGAUUGGGAGAUAGAAGAGUACAUGAAUCUUCUCAACUCUCCUACUCAGGUGUCCAUGGAAGGGUAAAAGAUGAACUAGCAUAGAGUCCGAACAAGAAUGGACGAUUUUCUCUCAAAUCCUUGAACCUAUUUUUACCAAGUGGGAGAGAGACACUAAAAAAUUUCCUUCUAGCAUGAUCUGGAAUGCAAAGGCCACAACCAAGGUGGCUUUUUUGCCUGCGAAGCGGUCAAUGAGAGGAUUCUCACAUUAGACAAGCUAAUUAUAAGAGGAAAAACAUUUAUUGGUGAACGGUUGCUAUCUAUGCAAAAAUGGCAAGGAGAGUUGCAAUCAUAUUAUGCUAUAGUGUUUGAUUGCUCACUGACUUUGGUUUUUGGUGUAUGGUCCUUUGGGGAGUUAAUUGAAUCAUUGUUGGCACAACAAGGGAUGAGCUGUGGGCAUGGAAGGGUUUUAACAUGGAAAAAAAAAACACAUAAGGUUUAUUCCCUUGGCCACCCUUUGAACUAUUCGGAAGGAGAGGAAUAGAGGGCUGUUCAGAGGAACUGACUCUUCCUCUGAUAGAUUUAAAGAUUCUUAGUUCCUAAGCUCUAAGCUUUUUUAUAAAAGACUAACCGCUGUAUUCUAACAAGGAUUUUGGGGACCUUAUAAACAUUUUAUUAGACUGAUAAAUAUUUUAUAUAUGGAUUGCAUCGCUGUGGUGUUUUAUUAAUUCACUUUUACUUCUAAAAAAAUAAAGUUGAAAAGAUAGAAUUUAAUUUCAUUAAAAAGAUAACAUGGAGGACUGCUUGUAAGAGCCUCUAACAGAAUGCCAAACCGCCACAUCAGAUAUAAAUCUGGAAAGCAAAAUAUAGAUGAGACUUAUGUUGAUAUAUUUAAAAAGUAAUUCCCAAAAAUAUAUUCAAAAAGUAAACAAUAACAGACCCAUCUAAGUUUGUGAUUUAGACUCCAAAUUAAAUUUCUGCAGUUCAUUCCUGUGACAUUUAGAUUCUGACUAAUAAGAAAGUUACUCAAGAGAAGAGAAAUAUUAAAAGAAAAGCGACCAGAAAACAGAAAACUAAGCACGAAAUCACAGUCAACUCUUAAAAGAGGUCCAAUCCAGCCAGAUAAAGCAACAUGUCUAACUAUCACAUAAUAAACACCAGAAAAAUAUCAUGAACAUAAUUAUCAAAGAAAAAAACCUUGAUUGCAUUAAUAAAAAACAAAAGCAGGGGAAUUAACCAAAAGGUAAAGUCUGGGUAACAUUCUUGAGCAUAGAUUCUCGGCACAGCAAAAUCAUGAGCAAUGUAAUACAUCAACCAUAUACAUCCAAUCAAAAACACAAAGUUCGUUUAGUAUUCUUCAUUCAAUGGCUUAUAUAGGUGAAGAAAUGUCAACAAAUUUGUUGAAUAUUCUUUAUUCAACGGCUCAUAUAGGUGAGAAAUGUCUGCAGAAAACAAGUAACUCUUCAAAUUUCAGAUUCCUGAAUAGCUAGCAGACCAAGAACUACCAGCAGAGUCCACCAAAACAUUUCACCUAAGUAGGCAUCUAUCACCUACAAUAAACAGGUAUAGGGACUUGGCACGAGGACUUUCUUUAAAUUCUUGGUUGGAAGUUGAAACAUAAUUAUUAGUAAUCAAACGCCUAAAAUUCUACAGGUUCGGCUCCUCAAAACCGAAAAAUAAUCUAUAAGUUCCAAAAUUCUUUUUUUUUUUUAAAUAAAAGGAAAAAAUUAUUAAAAGCUGGAGAUUCCCAGAUAUGAAGAAGAGUAUGCUGGUAAAGAAAAAAAAAAGAAAGUAGAAAUAAGCAGAAAUAGGAGGUAGAAAGAAAAGUGGUGACACAAUACAGUAUUAUUGUGUGAGCAGGCCCCAAGAGAGGAAGGAAAUCUUGGCUAAUCUACGCAAGCAUUUUGAUUAAUUAGCUUUGAUUAGGACAAAGAGGUUAGUGAGGUAAGGAGUUUGGAAUAAGGCGGAGUAGGCAUUGUAUGUCAAAUUGGACACAAGAAUUAGCUAAAUAUCCUUAAAAUAGGAAUUUGGUUUUCAUGGUAAAUAUCAUUAUUGGAAGUGGACUAGGAGUUCAUCAGCAUCUGUAAAAUAUCAAAACUUACAGUACAGCUUACCUAUAAACAUGUAAAGACAGUUACCACGGGCAAAUCAAUUAGCAUAAUUAACUAAAACAGACACUACCUUAAUACUACAGAUCGGAAGUUCACUUGAACAGGCCCUGAACCCUUAUUUCCAUAUAUCUCAACCCAUAGCCUAAUAAUUAAAUAUAGGACCAUAACACAUUGAUAUCACGGCGGGAGUAUAUAGAAAAUAUCAAGGAAUGUUAGCAACGGGUUCUUGCACAUGUCCAAGAGAACAGGAACCAUGCAACGCAAAAUGUGAGAAAGAUUGUUCUCUGUUCGAGAAAAAGCAAAAGGAGCUAAGUCAACAGAUUGAGCUGCUGUCCAGGGAGCUUUUAGGUCAGACACCCAACAAGCAACCCAUGCCUGCGAAGUAGGAGCCUGACAAAAAGGAGGAGACAACGGGAAAAAAAGAGCUUGAAGUUCUUGAUUCUGCGUGCAAUAGCAAUGACUAUGUUCACCUUUUUCCUAAUAACAGUAAAAGUGAUGAGAAGCAACAGCAGCAUGAAUCUCAGCUUCAACCCUAUGGAAGGCUUUAUGGGAAUUCAGCAAGCAGGAGUUCCCUUUUCAUCAGAUACCAGUUUUAGAGAACCUGCAUUUGUUAAUGCAAGAGUACUAUAACACACCGUCCUUUGGUGUUUGCAGACAAGCACCAUUGGGGUGAAUGGAGUAAUGUUAUGCCCCAAUAGCCUGCAGUGAAAAAGGAAACUGGAAGAAAGAAAAGAUACGGCACAAAUAUAAUACUAUAGAAUAGGUGCAGGCCCAUGAGAAUGAAGAAAUCUGGAGUUAACUCCUUAUGUAUUUUUAGUUAAUUAGGUUAGAUCAGGAGAGAUUAUUUAGGUUAGGAGUUUGGAAUAAGGUAGAUUAGGAAUUAUCUUUUGUCAAAUAGGAAAAGAAAUCAGCCAAAGAUCCCUGACAUUAGGAUCGGCUUUUAUGUGUUGAUCCUUAUUAGGUGAGGACUAGAAGUUCAUUAGCGGCUGUUGAAAAAGAAAGAAUAUGAUAUUGUUUACGUAUAAGGAUGUAAAUAGUUUGCAUAAAUAAAAUCAACCAGCGAAUAAUUAACUAAAAACAGCUUCUAGAGAUCGGUGGCUUCUCCCUAACAAACCCCAAACCAUUCCACAUACCUCAACUCAUAACUUGAUCCUUGAAUAUGGGACCAUAAAUACCUAGGUUUCUGAGCAAGAAGUCUUAAACAUCAUAUUUAAGGCUUAGUUUGCAUUAAACAACCAACAAGAAUAAGAAACUCUAGAAGAAAUUUAUUGAGUAACUGAAGGCUCCCCGAAAAUGUAAAUUUUACAAAAAUAUUCAUAAUGUUUAGUAAGAAACCUUUGCUAAAUAAAAUUAAACCAAGAAAUGCUAAUAUUAAUAGGAUUAGGAAAUAAAAGUAUCAAUAUAAACUGAAAAGCUAAACACUAAUAAGAAUAAAAUCCUAAAGUUACUAAAACUAUAACUAUAAACUCAUAAAUAUUGUAGUAGUUUUAUAUUAACAGAACUAUAAUUUCAAAUCUUAGGCACUCUAGUGCUAGCACAUUCUGCAUCAUGGUGUUAACAGUUCCACAUGGUAAGACAAAUCUAAAAUUAACUGUACAAGUUAACAAGGACUAGAAUGACAAUUUAGCCAAAUGGAAAUAAGAUACUCUUCAAUGAGAAAUAGUUCUAUUCUCAAGGUAUUUUCCUCUUUCCUUUUGCAUAGAUUCAAGCCUAGUCAAUCUAGAUAGAAACUGCUUGCUUGACCUAAUAUUUACCCAAGCUGAUACUUCUUCAGAACCUUGUUUCCUUUUUAAUUCGUAGAAUCUCCAUAAGGUUUAUAACAAUCUGUAUUAAAGCCGAAAGACGACUUAUGAUCUUAAUAUUCUUCAGAACUCAAUCCAAAAAGAAAAGCAUCAACUAGAUUUAAACUAGAUUUACACAAGAGUCCACUUGCUUCCACCUUGUUAUGAUAAUCCUUUACGGUUAUUUAGGAUUAAAUGCAAAGACCUCUUUUAGUCAAGUAUGUUUAUCCUCCAGCUUGUUCUUUCUUCCACGCUCUUCUUUCAUUUUCUAAAUCUAGAAGCCAACCCACUUGAGAAACUGACCACCAAUUCAUCUUCCUCCAACUGCAGUACAAACAUCAGGCUGCGAAACCAGUAUUUGAUUCUAGAGAUCUUAUAGUUUCAAUGCAAGUCUCAGAAUACUUCUGACACUUGGGUAAGACAAUGAAUAGGAUAACUUUGUAUGACAGUGCAGAGUACAGAUGAGCAAGGUUGGUGUGAAAAAGCUUCCUCUUAAAAAUGUUUGCUUGUUGUUGUUUUAAAAGCUUUUUGUCAUAAAAAAGUAAUCAUAGUGCUAGUAAAUUAUUUUUAUAAGAUACAACUGAGAUGCUGUGCAAAAUUUGUGUUUUUGGCAACAAUAGAUGUAAAAGUAUUAUACAAGUACAAUUAACAUGUUUAUAUUUUAUUUAAGGAAAAAAUCUCUUUUGAAGUUAAAAUCUAUUUAUAUAUUCUAUAUUAAUUUUUGGGUAAGAUUAGCAGCAGUAAGAAAUUAAAAUUUGGUCAUUAUUUUUAUUUGCUUCUGUUGAAAGCAUAUUUUGCUGCUUUGAGAAAGCAACUAUGUGGUUGAUUUCCCAAAGCAGCAAAAUUUGCUUUUCCAAUUGAAAAUUUUUUGAAAAAAAAAUCGAAAAAUAGAUCACCAAACAUGACUUCACUGAAAGGACGGUUGUUCUCUGGAGAAAGCAACUCCAAAAGCUUUACCAAAUCUGAGUGUUAAUAUUUUUGCUAUAUACAUAGGCAAACGGAGGAGUACGUAAUAUUAUGACCAUAAUUCCCUUUCCUUAAUAUUUUUUCAAAUACUAAAGUUUAAUUUAAAAUUUUAAUGUAUACCAAUACAAUAAUAUAUUAAAAUAUUUAAAGUAUAAAAUUAUUUUUAAGAAAAUAAUAAUAUAAAAUCAUUUCUGAGAUUUGUAUUUUAAGCUAAUUAUUAAUUUAAUAAAAAAAAUUAAAGAGUAAAUGUUAAUAUAUUUUAAAAAUAUUAGCAACUAAUAUAUAAUUUAAAAUAAAUCUACAUAACAAUAAGACAAAUUUAAAUCCUAAGAUGCUUUUAAAGUAUAAUAUUAUUUUUAAAACAUAAAAUUAUUUUCAAAUUAUCUUUUAAAAUUAUGAUGACUUUAGACCACGAAAAUUCAAACCAGGAAUUUACAAUAAUAGUUCCCAAGUCCGAAAAAGAUAAGAAUCGAGGAGAAUUACUACCUGUACAUGCUCAUCUUUUCCAUAAGCUCCAUGUUAAGAUCUCUAGAGAAUAAUUUAAAUGGAAAUAUAUCAUAGUAGGAACAGAAUUCUCACCUAGCUCCUGCUGCAUCUGAGGUAGAUACAUUGCUCUUUGGGACCCUACAAAAGGAAAGGUUACAGGAUAUGGAAGAGACAUCAAUAUAGAUCCCAGAAAAACAAUCAAAAAGAUAGUCCAGUGCAUUUUAUUAGUAAAUUGCCUCUAAAAUUUGUCAUUUGGUGCCAUGUCACCUUGGAGACCAAAAGUUUGUAAGUCCUAAUAGUUCAACUACUGAAAAGAAGAGUUCAAUGAACUUACGUCGCUUGCUCUGGCGGAGCAGAAACUGAAACUGGUGCAGUUGUUGAUGCAGUUGUUGAUGCAGUUGUAGAAGUGGGCUGGGAUAAAAGCAGAAUCAAUAUUCUACAGAAAAAUGAUACGCAAACAAGAAAAAGCACAAAAAUAAAAGGUUACCUG
rnacentral:lncRNA from 1 species